rnacentral:rRNA from 1 species
CGUAGGUCCGAGCGUUGUCCGGAAUUAUUGGGGCGUAAAGGGCUCGUAGGCGGUUUGUCGCGUCGGGAGUGAAAACACCGGGCUUAACUCGGUGCUUGCUUUCGAUACGGGCAGACUAGAGGUAUGCAGGGGAGAAUGGAAUUCCUGGUGUAGCGGUGAAAUGCGCAGAUAUCAGGAGGAACACCGGUGGCGAAGGCGGUUCUCUGGGCAUUACCUGACGCUGAGGAGCGAAAGUGUGGGGAGCGAACAGGAUU